CCUACGGGAGGCAGCAGUGGGGAAUAUUGCGCAAUGGGCGAAAGCCUGACGCAGCAACGCCGCGUGGGGGAUGAAGGCCUUCGGGUUGUAAACCUCUUUCAGCAGGGAAGAAGCGAAAGUGACGGUACCUGCAGAAGAAGCACCGGCUAACUACGUGCCAGCAGCCGCGGUAAUACGUAGGGUGCAAGCGUUGUCCGGAUUUAUUGGGCGUAAAGAGCUCGUAGGCGGUUAGUCACGUCGGAUGUGAAAUCCCGGAGCUUAACUCCGGGCCUGCAUUCGAUACGGGCUGACUCGAGUGUUGUAGGGGAGACUGGAACUCCUGGUGUAGCGGUGAAAUGCGCAGAUAUCAGGAAGAACACCGGUGGCGAAGGCGGGUCUCUGGGCAACUACUGACGCUGAGGAGCGAAAGCGUGGGGAGCAAACAGGAUUAGAUACCCUGGUAGUCCACGCCGUAAACGGUGGGCGCUAGGUGUGGGGAACAUUCCACGUUCUCUGCGCCGCAGCUAACGCAUUAAGCGCCCCGCCUGGGGAGUACGGCCGCAAGGCUAAACUUAAAUGAAUUGACGG
rnacentral:rRNA from 1 species